ACACUAAAUUACUUAUACUGAGGCAUUAGUAGUCUCAUAUUUGAGGAGCAAUUGUAUUUUUAGUUCAGCUAAAUUAAUGCCUCUUUUUAAAUACUAACUUGUACUACUUUUGUGGCUGUGAAUGGUAUCUUUUAUUGAACUGAGGCAGCUUUUAAAAGACUUGCCUGAUCAUUUAGAGCACUCCCAUUGAGGUUAAAUUAGACUUGAAUCUGUAAUGAUUCUCGUAUCUGUUCCUGGUGUGUGUCCAGCACAAUGUUGCUGGGCAGAGCAGAGGGGCAGAGGCUCAGGUAUGUACUGCAUUGACAAGUGGGCAAGGCCAUCCUGGGUACCACAUUGGCUUAAUGAUCUCUUCAUUGUGAAGUCUGGCUACCUUGUUUGCAUAAGAACUACAGUAAUCAGGCAAGGCAUUGUCAGAAUUGGGAGGAAUAAAAUCAGUGAGUCUGGAAGGAGUGCUCUGUAUACAAUUGCAAAGAACAAAAUGGUCAUCUUUAAGGUACCUGAUUGCAUGCACUUAAAUGCAGAUUAUUUUGGAGUUUGAAAAGGGACUAUUAAUGAAAUCUUUCUUUUCCCUCCUUUCUCUUUUUCCCUUCCCCGCCACUGAUUCAGUGAGCUGGAGAUUGGAUCACAGCCGAAGGAGUAAAGGUGCUGCAAUGAUGUUAUCUGUGGCCACUGGAUUUUUCACAAGAACAGUAAUAAACUAAAAACUUCA
rnacentral:sRNA from 1 species